CCCAAAAUAUCUACUACUACAGCGUUUCUUCUUCUCUCCGUGAAAAGGAAUCCCCUCUCUCCGUGAAAUAGAAACCAUGAUGCAUACUUACACCAUGCUCUUCAUCUCUCUCCAUGAAUAAAAAACAUGAAGCAAUCUUACGCCAUGGAAUCUCUACUGUCUCUCUUCCUCCCAUAGAAAGCAAAUCCAUGUAUCUCCAUGGACCAAGCGACUUGAGGUAUGGAUCCGAUCGAUUUGACAAUGGAGCUUGCGGAUGGAUUUUCUUUUCUCAUCAAGUUCAGAUCGGUUCAUAUUCGAAUCACAACUAGGGUUAACGUUUCUCGAGCGUCUCAGCAAGCCUCUUUCCAAUGAUGGUGACAGCUAGGGCUUCGAUCCAAGUUGUGGCAAGCAACUGCGCUCAAAACUCCUCAAUCUGUCCUGAAAGUUAAGGCAAGUUUGCAUAGUGAAUAGAUACAUCUAGCGCUCAAUCCCUGCAGUAUAGCACAACAGUUUUGCGCUCUGCCCGGAAGCUGCACGUGGUUUCAAAUUUGACUCCCUGUGCGACUUCAGACUUGAGAGAAAUUUUUAUUAGAUAAAUGCUUCAUUUAUUUUUAGUUAUGUUCUGUAUACAAUUUGUAAUGGUUUAGAUGAUCAUGCCGAACAAUGUUAAUACAGGAGACUUAUUCAUUAUUUUCAUCACAAGCAGUUUUAGUUUUGCUAUCGCCGGUUGACACAAAUAAUCUAUGAGUUAUCAACUAUCAGACUGACUAUGCGCAUGUUGGAUUGUACGGGCUACAAUCGAGACGGCGGGCACGGAUGCACGGCGCCGGCGCACGCACAGGACUUGGCUGUUGAUUCUGAUUAGACACACAAGUACACGACCUGGGUUUGGAGUCAGCAAAAUUUACCAGUGCCAACAUGUUGUGGGAUGAUGAGACAAUGGGAAGCACGCCGGAGUCAGCCAGGGACGCCCGGAGGGACGAGAUGCAUGGCCUUGGCCUCCGACGAGCUUGCGGUGAACUGCAAGCAGCCUUGCAAAUUCAUAGUAUGGUAUUUGUUUGCUAUUUCUUUUUUCGUCUUCAAUUCCUUUGU